CAAGAGCGUAUGUAAAAGUUGUUGCAGUUAAAAAGCUCGUAGUUGAACCUUGGGUUUGGUUGGCCGGUCCGCUUUUUUGCGAGUACUGGAUUCAACCGAGCCUUUCCUUCUGGCUAACCAGUCGUUUCGGCGGCUGGCGAACCAGGAUUUUUACUUUGAGAAAAUUAGAGUGUUCAAAGCAGGUAUUAGCUUGAAUAUAUUAGCAUGGAAUAAUAGAAUAGGACGUUAUGGUUCUAUUUUGUUGGUUUCUAGGACCAUCGUAAUGAUUAAUAGGGACGGUCGGGGGCAUCAGUAUUCAGUUGUCAGAGGUGAAAUUCUUGGAUUUACUGAAGACUAACUACUGCGAAAGCAUUUGCCAAGGACGUUUUCAUUAA
rnacentral:rRNA from 1 species